GGAGAAAAGCAGGGGAUCGCAAGACCUUGCGCUCAUUGAGCGGCCGAUGCCUGAUUAGCUAGUUGGUGAGGUAAAGGCUUACCAAGGCGACGAUCAGUAGCUGGUCUGAGAGGACGACCAGCCACACUGGGACUGAGACACGGCCCAGACACCUACGGGAGGCAGCAGUGGGGAAUUUUAAACAAUGGGGGAAACCCUGAUCCAGCCAUGCCGCGUGAGUGAAGAAGGCCUUCGGGUUGUAAAGCUCUUGCAGCCGGAACGAAACGGUCACGGCUAAUACCUGUGACUACUGACGGUACCGGAAGAAGAAGCACCGGCUAACUACGUGCCAGCAGCCGCGGUAAUACGUAGGGUGCGAGCGUUAAUCGGAAUUACUGGGCGUAAAGCGUGCGCAGGCGGUUUUGUAAGUCAGAUGUGAGAUCCCCGGGCUUAACCUGGGAACUGCGUUUGAAAUACAGGAGCUAGAAGGGC
rnacentral:rRNA from 1 species